rnacentral:rRNA from 1 species
GAGUGAACGCUGGCGGUAGGCCUACCACAUGCAAGUCGAACGGCAGCACAGUAAGAGCUUGCUCUUACGGGUGGCGAGUGGCGGACGGGUGAGGAAUACAUCGGAAUCUACUUUUUCGUGGGGGAUAACGUAGGGAAACUUACGCUAAUACCGCAUACGACCUACGGGUGGAAGCAGGGGAUCUUCGGACCUUGCGCGAUUGAAUGAGCCGAUGUCGGAUUAGCUAGUUGGCGGGGUAAAGGCCCACCAAGGCGACGAUCCGUAGCUGGUCUGAGAGGAUGAUCAGCCACACUGGAACUGAGACACGGUCCAGACUCCUACGGGAGGCAGCAGUGGGGAAUAUUGGACAAUGGGCGCAAGCCUGAUCCAGCCAUACCGCGUGGGUGAAGAAGGCCUUCGGGUUGUAAAGCCCUUUUGUUGGGAAAGAAAAGCAGCAGGUUAAUACCCCGCUGUUCUGACGGUACCCAAAGAAUAAGCACCGGCUAACUUCGUG